AACAAACAGUAAAAUCUAAGAAAUAUAUGAGAUUGCUAGAGCCAUUGUUUCAUUUAAAAAAUAUCAGUGCUGGUUGUGUCGAGAAAAUCAUAUUAAAAUGGGGAAAAUAAAACUGACAAAAUAACGUUGGAGAAAUAACCACUGCCGACUUACCAUUAAUUGGCUUGACGCCGGAGUGAUCUGGAGCAGGUGACGGUGGCUCGGGAUCAGGCUCUGGCUCCAGAUCUGGAGCAGGUGACGGUGGCUCGGGAUCAGGCUCUGGCUCCAGAUCUGGUGGAGGGACAAAAGGCUCCACAACAUCCACAUCACUACAGGGGCAACAGCACCGGAAAGGACUCUUCAUCGCCUUCCACAGCCUGUUGAGGAAAGAACGAAUUCUUUUCCUCUUCCUGCGUUCUGUAGGUUUUUCUGAAAGGAAGAAAAACAAUUG